CCUUAUCUGGGAAAGGGGAAGCCAGGGAGCUGUGCAGAGCCCCUGGGCCUCCAUGUGGCUGUUCCUGCUUCAUGCAGGUGCCCUGAGAUUUGUGUAGAUUCCAGGGUUAGGGAGGAAAGACCAGUUUCUAUUUUGGUAGUAGGGGAGUAAAAGAUGACCUUGCACCUACUGAGGGGAUAUUCGGGUAGAAACCCCUUGAAUCAACAUUCAAAAAGUUUCCAAGUCCCUAUGCAGAAAAACCAAAGGCAAGGGAAAGGAUUGUUUGGCUUUAUUUAAUUUAGCUCUCUAUGGGCAUUACUAAGGUAUCCAGUCUCCUGUGAGUCCCUCCAUGUAAAAGAUAAAUCUAACUGUCUCAUGUAUUUGUUAAUUUAUGUAUAAAUAAAUUUAUAAGACAGCCUAGCCUUGUUUACUCAUGUAAUAUAUUUCUCUCUCAACUGCAGCUUAACAAAUGGUGUUCAACAUGGCCCAUCUUGCAGGAUACAGACUGCUCCUUGUGCUAAAUAAACAAGAGACAGUGACUUUGGAAUACCUUUUGAUAAUAGCUGGAGAAUGCAAUUUUUGGAAGUUGCAUUCUCCCAGGACAAAGACACAAAGCAUAAAUCAGAAUCUUCAAGAAACACCCCAACCUAGUGACAUAAACAAUGGUGUAAGCUGCAUAUCAGUCGUAAAUUGGUGAGAAAACAGGUGCAAGUGAUGAUGUUGUGUAAUUUGCACUGAUCAGUCAUUCAGUUGGGAAGUAAAAUGCAUGCAGCUUUUCCUGGGAAGGAACAGAAAGGAGGAAAGUGGAGCAGGACAAACAAUUUCCUGGAGGAUGCAAAAGAGAGUAAGAGCACCAGGAUGUUCCCAUUCUCUCUUACACCAUCACUUAUUAAUUAUCACAAUAUCACUGCUGAAUAUGAUCCAAGGAUUUCCAUGGGAAUAGCUUCCAUUUACACCGGGUCUGAAUUUCUCAUUGCUUAAUGCGUUCAAGAAGGAAGAAUACAUUUUGAGACUUUUAAUUUAUGGGACAUUUAACCGUACUGCUUAGAUACAGGCAUCUCAGAGAGAUGAACAUUUAAAGUAUGGCCUGUUAGAUUUCUUGUUGUAAUUCUUAGAAACCAAGCUGAUAGAUGCCUUAGAAAUACCUAAAAUAGAUAAAGUACUAUUUAUAUUUUGUAGAUUAAAGAAUUUGCAUUGAAAUGAAAGUAUUGGAAUGUGAUACAUGAUAGUGUUUAUAGUUGCUUAGGGUCAUCUAUAUAAAGGAGAUGUUACAUCUGGAGUGUGAAAUUAAAAAACAACCCUUUUACUAUCUUUAAUUUUUUCUUGUUGUGUAGUAAA